GGUUUAGGCUCUUCCUCAGGGUUUCCUCUCUUUGCUGUCUGGCAGCCUCCACUCUAGAUUGAGGGAUAUGCCACUGAGUUCUUGUUGCGGUACGGGUGAGUUUUGGGGAUUUUAUUUUUGUUUUCUUGUUGUUAAACUGCUUGUGUUUAUCUUGUCAGCUGCCGUUGUUACAUUAUGAUAAAUGCAUAAUAAUAAUUCUUCUAAGCCAGGCAUGAGUCCCAUUAAUUUUGUCUCCUGGAACUGUAAAGGUCUUGGUAAAGCGCUUAAAAGCAUAAAGGUGUUUUCAGAUUUAAAAUCACUUUCAUAUGAUAUUGUCUUUCUUCAGGAGACUAAUAUACAGCCAACUGAGCAGAGACGUUUAAGAUCUUCAUGGGAGUCACAGGUUGAUGUAACCUGCACAAAAUAAUCAACCCGUAUUUUAUUUUGGCGGGUCAAACUGACAGCACACUUUAAGAUCCGGGUCACAGGUGACUCGGAUCUCAAUUGCUGUUGCUGCUGUCGCUGUGGCUAGCUGCUCAUCUUGGCGUCUUCUAAACAUAUGGAAGAACAAGACUGGAUCGAGCCUUACUAACACGGCCGAAGGAUUAAAUUGGGUGUUUUCUGUCGACCGCUCGACGGUCAGGUUUUUUUUCCACCCCCUGUGUCAACCCAGGAUGGCGAGCUACCCGGAUCACCGCAGCUUUGCGGUAGGACUUAAAUGAACCAAACUACUUYAUGCAUUCWGGAUCUAAUGCCCUGGAUCAUGGACUAAAAACAGUUGGAUUAUUGAUUGAUGGACCAUUAAUCACCUUGGAUUCAUGAAUGGACUUAAAAUAGAAAAAAACGCUUGGGUGUCAUCAGGGUUUAUUGUUUUGUUGUUUUCCUUGUUUCUUCUUUGUUGUGUCUUUCGGUUAUAUUCAUAGAAAAUCACUGUUAUUAUAAAUAUUAUUAUUAUUGAAUAUCUUCCUAAAUAUAUGCAAGAAUAUACACUUGAAUA